AAAGAAUAAAAGGCAAGUUCAUGGAGACAUCUAUAACUAAAUUUUUAAAUUUACGAACUAAAUAUAAAAUAGAGCAUAAAGAAAUCUGUGCAAGAAAGAGGUAACUCCUUUAUAAGAGUGUUGAAAUUGACAAAGCUUAUACGCGUUAAUUUAUAAGGGUCUUUUAAGAUUGAUUUUUUUUUAUUUUAAUCGCGAGGGUUAUAAAAAUUAAAGAGUUCGAUAAAAGGAAAUUAUGUUCACUUAACUUGUUUCCGGAGGUGUGACAUGUCAGUUAAAAAUGGUUGGUUGACCUUGGUCUUGCGGGAUGGAUGUUCUUCGGUGUUAGAAGUUUAGGAUUCUCGGGAAAUUUAGUUCUCGGGUCCUUCGGGAACAGGAUGGAACAUUGGACUCGAUCUCAGGUUAAAUUGACGUAGAUUCGACAACGCUUCGCUCUAACCAAAAUUGAACUCUCCCGGUGUCAAAUUUGCGCGGCCUUAUAUACCCUUUUUGGACAAAGGCUUCUUGGAUAUCCGAAUUUGAUCGCCUCAGUUUGAAUCUGGGCUCUCUGAUUGGUUGAUAAAAUGGCGGGAAUUAUAAAUUACACAGAUAAUCGCGCUUUCGGGUGUCAAAUUCCUUCGAGAAAUUCGUAAUUUGAUGUUAAAGUUUGGAAA